CGGGAGGAAGGGGGAAGAACCGGUUUUAUCGUCCCCCAGGCCCGGCUGGCAGCGCUGAAUGGCCCUCCCUACCUUGCUGCGCCCCUGUGAACGUGCCAAGAGGAGUUGGUGAAAUGUCCUUCUUCACUGGAACUAUUUACAGCCAUCCAUUUAAAAACAACAACAACACACAAUGAUAUUAUGCUAUAACAUCACACAUUCUGAUCCAAGAUGGUUCUCCAAUCAAUAGAACACAAAUCAGAUUAUGAUGAUUACUUCUGUGCCAAACAGUGUGAAACAGAUGAUGAAGAGAUUCUACAACCCAGAAAAAUUUUGAGGUUUUUGAAAACAUGCAUCCGCCGCUCCCUAACAACAUUUUGCUUUAUGCAUGGUUAUGCAGUUCUAGAAACAGUGAGGUAUUUAGAAACAUCUCAGAUGCUGUCAUUUCUGCUGGUGAACUUAAAAUAAAUUAUAGAUAUUAAUUAAGUGUUACAACA